ACGUAGGUGGCGAGCGUUGUUCGGAAUUAUUGGGCGUAAAGGGUCCGCAGGUGGCCUGACAAGUCUGACGUGAAAUCUCACGGCUCAACCGUGAAACUGCGUUGGAAACUGUCGGGCUAGAGUAUCGGAGAGGUCAUUGGAAUUCCAGGUGUAGCGGUGGAAUGCGUAGAUAUCUGGAAGAACACCGAGAGCGUAGGCAGAUGACUGGACGAUAACUGACACUCAGGGACGAAAGCAUGGGGAGCAAACAG
rnacentral:rRNA from 1 species